rnacentral:rRNA from 1 species
UACAGAGGGUGCGAGCGUUAAUCGGAAUUACUGGGCGUAAAGCGUGCGUAGGCGGUUCGUUAAGUCUGUCGUGAAAGCCCUGGGCUCAACCUGGGAAUUGCGAUGGAUACUGGCGAGCUAGAGUACGGUAGAGGAUGGUGGAAUUCCCGGUGUAGCGGUGAAAUGCGUAGAGAUCGGGAGGAACACCCGUGGCGAAGGCGGCCAUCUGGACCAGUACUGACGCUGAGGCACGAAAGCGUGGGGAGCAAACAGG